rfam:Aureimonas ureilytica strain NS365 contig_22, whole genome shotgun sequence.
UCCCGGUCUCCAUAGCCGGGAAUUCUGUAGAGGCACACCUUCCUUGCCUGAAGUGCGGCGGGUCCAACCCUCCAAGCCAUGGCACAAUCUUCCGCUCUCGUUCGGCCGUCCG